ACGCUGGCGGCAGGCUUAACACAUGCAAGUCGAGGGGUAUGCCGAUUUAUCGGCAGAGACCGGCGCACGGGUGCGUAACGCGUAUGCAAUCUACCCUUCACAGAGGGAUAGCCCAGAGAAAUUUGGAUUAAUACCUCAUAGUAUAGCAGUUUCGCAUGAAACCACUAUUAAAGUUCCAACGGUAUAAGAUGAGCAUGCGUCCCAUUAGUUAGUUGGUAAGGUAACGGCUUACCAAGACAAUGAUGGGUAGGGGUCCUGAGAGGGAGAUCCCCCACACUGGUACUGAGACACGGACCAGACUCCUACGGGAGGCAGCAGUGAGGAAUAUUGGUCAAUGGGCGCAAGCCUGAACCAGCCAUGCCGCGUGCAGGAAGACGGUCCUAUGGAUUGUAAACUGCUUUUAUACAGGAAGAAACCCUCCCACGUGUGGGAGCUUGACGGUACUGUAGGAAUAAGGAUCGGCUAACUCCGUG
rnacentral:rRNA from 1 species